UACGGGGGGGGCAAGCGUUGUUCGGAAUUACUGGGCGUAAAGGGCUCGUAGGCGGCCAACUAAGUCAGACGUGAAAUCCCUCGGCUUAACCGGGGAACUGCGUCUGAUACUGGAUGGCUUGAGUGUGGGAGAGGGAUGUGGAAUUCCAGGUGUAGCGGUGAAAUGCGUAGAUAUCUGGAGGAACACCGGUGGCGAAGGCGGCAUCCUGGACCAACACUGACACUGAGGAGCGAAAGCCAGGGGAGCAAACGGG
rnacentral:rRNA from 1 species